GGGAUGAUUUCAGGUAAUGUUUUAAAAAUAAACGACUCAUUGCCGAUACACACCAUUAUCUUGGUACUAGGAAUCUGCUUAAAAUAAUCAUUUCUUUGCCUCAAUUUUGAAUGUGCGAAAAAAAAACAACAAAAAUUAAAAUACUUUCCAUUUUGAGCUCAUAAAUCGUGCGCGUUGUUGGCAUAUGUCGGUGGGCCAGAGGCAGGAAGGCGGUGCAAAGUUUAUUGUUUAUACCAAAAACUGGCAGCUCGAACCGAGAGCAAAGCACAUUAAAUAAACAAAUCAACAGAUGCCAAGUUAAUAAAAACAACUAUUCUACUUAUUCGAGAAGUGUAGAUGCCCUUGCAACUGAUCAAAAAACUAUAUUGUUAUAUGGAAACUGUAAACAGUUUGUGUGUCAAGUGCAAAAAGAACAGUUGCAAAAUUGAAUAUUGUCGCAAUUAACUGAUAACAAAUUUAUAUAAUUGCAGUAUCUGUUUCCACAAACAUGUUAUUAAUAAAGUGAAGAAAUUGGAUCCAAUAUGUUGUUUGCUUAUUAAAAACAAUAAACAAAUUCCGUUUUAUUUUUCAGAGAACAACAAAUACAAUAGAAGCAUUUGUCAAAUACCAGACAGAUCGAAUUGCCUUUUCAAGGGCAGUCAAUUAUUUCCCCGACUGAGCUUAAACUGAGAAUUAUAAAAGAGAACUAUUUAAAUAACGCUUGGAAAAUACAUGUAGCCCUGUGCAACUAUUUACAUAAGUAAUAAAUUGGUAAUAAGCAACAAACAGUGGUUUUCUUAGCCCGUGGAAAGCCGAAUAAUCUCAGCUAGUUUCUCCAUUAAGACUGGGAGUACAAUUCUUGUAGAAAAUUCAUUUCAAAAGGCGAUCGUGCCAGUCAUGGCUGCUGUUCUGAUUUUUAUGUAAAUGUACAUAUGUAUGUACAUAUAUUCUGUUAAGCGAAUGUUAAAGUGUGGGGCGUGCCAUAAUUUCGCAGACAUUGUGCAGCAGAGGGUGGCCCGCUCAGGCCCACCCAAAAGCCAAUUGGCGUAAGUUUGCUUUCAAUAAUCUUUUUAUGGUUGUACACAAAUUGGCUGUGACAGCGGCGGGGGCAGCAGCAACGUGCUCGGCGGCAGCAUUACUGCCAGAUAAGAAUGUCGACGCCGGGCAAUAAAACCACCAAAAAUUAACGGACAAAGCAAAGCGGGCACAAUACACAAGCACACACACACACAUGUUCAUAUGCAUGUACAUAGAUAGCAAUUCGUGCGCAAUAAAAUCAACAACAAAACAAAGGCAAGAGUCGCUAAAGCGAGAGAGCCUCAGUUUGGAGCAGAGCAACGCAGCGCAGAGAACAGAUCCCAAGUGAGAAAUGCGAAUGCGCGUGCGAAUCGCAAACAUGCGCGCGUAACUCCCAAUAAAUCGCUGCUAAAUACGCUGUUCAAGCA